UCCUCAGUGGAUCAGUGGUAGAGCAGUCAACUGUUAACUGACUGGUUGUAGGUUUGAAUCCUACUUGGGGAG
rfam:Picea glauca, whole genome shotgun sequence.